AGAGUUUGAUCCUGGCUCAGAGCGAACGCUGGCGGCAGGCCUAAUACAUGCAAGUCGAACGGCUCUUCGGAGCAGUGGCGGACGGGUGAGUAACGCGUGGGAACGUGCCCUUUGGUUCGGAACAACACAGGGAAACUUGUGCUAAUACCGAAUGUGCCCUUCGGGGGAAAGAUUUAUCGCCAUUGGAGCGGCCCGCGUUGGAUUAGCUAGUUGGUGGGGUAAAGGCCCACCAAGGCUACGAUCCAUAGCUGGUCUGAGAGGAUGAUCAGCCACACUGGGACUGAGACACGGCCCAGACUCCUACGGGAGGCAGCAGUAGGGAAUCUUGCGCAAUGGGCGAAAGCCUGACGCAGCCAUGCCGCGUGAAUGAUGAAGGUCUUAGGAUUGUAAAAUUCUUUCACCGGGGAAGAUAAUGACGGUACCCGGAGAAGAAGCCCCGGCUAACUUCGUGCCAGCAGCCGCGGUAAUACGAAGGGGGCUAGCGUUGCUCGGAAUUACUGGGCGUAAAGGGCGCGUAGGCGGACAUUUAAGUCAGAGGUGGAAGCCCAGGGCUCAACCUUGGAAUUGCCUUUGAUACUGGAUGUCUUGAGUUCGGGAGAGGUGAGUGGAAUGCCGAGUGUAGAGGUGAAAUUCGUAGAUAUUCGGCGGAACACCAGUGGCGAAGGCGACUCACUGGCCCGAUACUGACGCUGAGGCGCGAAAGCGUGGGGAGCAAACAGGAUUAGAUACCCCGGUAGUCCAA
rnacentral:rRNA from 1 species